rnacentral:rRNA from 1 species
CUUCCGUAGGGGGAACCUGCGGAGGGAUCAUUACCGAGUUUACAACUCCCAAACCCCUGUGAACAUACCACUUGUUGCCUCGGCGGAUCAGCCCGCUCCCGGUAAAACGGGACGGCCCGCCAGAGGACCCCUAAACUCUGUUUCUAUAUGUAACUUCUGAGUAAAACCAUAAAUAAAUCAAAACUUUCAACAACGGAUCUCUUGGUUCUGGCAUCGAUGAAGAACGCAGCAAAAUGCGAUAAGUAAUGUGAAUUGCAGAAUUCAGUGAAUCAUCGAAUCUUUGAACGCACAUUGCGCCCGCCAGUAUUCUGGCGGGCAUGCCUGUUCGAGCGUCAUUUCAACCCUCAAGCCCUCGGGUUUGGUGUUGGGGAUCGGCGAGCCCUUUGCGGCAAGCCGGCCCCGAAAUCUAGUGGCGGUCUCGCUGCAGCUUCCAUUGCGUAGUAGUAAAACCCUCGCAACUGGUACGCGGCGCGGCCAAGCCGUUAAACCCCCAACUUCUGAAUGUUGACCUCGGAUCAGGUAGGAAUACCCGCUGAACUUAAGCAUAUCAAUAGCGGGAGGAAA